rnacentral:rRNA from 1 species
GUCAAGUCAUCAUGGCCUUUAUGGCCAGGGCUACACACGUGCUACAAUGGUGGAUACAGAGGGAAGCCAACGCGCGAGCGGGAGCCAAUCCCAGAAAGCCGGUCGUAGUCCGGAUCGCAGUCUGCAACUCGGCUGCGUGAAGUCGGAAUCGCUAGUAAUCGCGAAUCAGCGAUGUCGCGGUGAAUACGUUCCCGGGUCUU